CCGCCGCUAGCUUACCGGGAUAAGCAUCAGCUUUCUCUCUGCGCUGACGGUACGAGGUUCGAGUCCUCGGCGGCGGACCA
rnacentral:tRNA from 1 species